AUUUAUCUUUAUCUUUUUAAAGUGAAAAUUUGCAUUUAGCCCUCUGCUGCCACUUGUUCAAAAUAGCUCUUCUGCCUGGCCAUACCAAGGAAAACAUCCUAAAAGGUUCUUAGCCUACUAGCUGCUGUCUAUAACAAAAAAUAAUUAAGUAGCAUAUUUGCCUCUUAAAAUAUCUUUAAGAUUUCUUUUCUGUUUUGUUGACAGCCAUGUUGCUACAUUUUUUCAUUUGGUUUUAUUCUUUCCAUGGUAACUGUAAAGCAAACAUAAUUAAGAAACAGACAUUGGAUACUUAUGCAGUACACAGAAAGCAUUUCUUCCAAACUCUUAACUAAAUAAAGUAAAUCCUUUCUAGGUGCACAAAUCCAUAGGUCAGAGGUCAAGAUUACCCCACCAGGAAUAGCUCAUCAUUGUAGGCAGGAGGAAAUGGCUUUAUUUACUCCAGAGCACCCAGGAAAAGGUUCUGACCUUUACAACCUGCUCUGCUUGCUAUUCCAGGGGAAAGCAGGAAGGGAGGGGUGGAAGGACAGACCCAUAAAUGUUCUAUGACAAUUACUUGGCAGCACUGUUUCAAAGAAAGAAGGAAAGCCUUUACUUGGCAUUCUGUACUAAGCAGUGCAUUGAAAUGGGUUGGUUCCAGCUCUGGACGGCCCACCCACACCUGGCCCCUCUGGGCAUGCUAAACACAGACAGGAGUGACACCACUACCCCAGGUGUUAGCCUGGAAACUUCCCUCCCUUCCAUGCAUCAUCCCUGCUUUCACCUCCGUAGUUGACAGAUUCUCAGGGUCUGUUGUGUGGAUUCCGGGAUCAGCUUCUGAGCUCUUGCCCUUCUCUGGAACAUCACUGUUGGCUCUCUCUUUAACUCAGGACUCUGCAGGGCUCUUGGUUCUGGAAUACUUGCAACUUCAGGGAGAAGACACUCCCUUGGCCCGCUUCAUCCCAGCGUCUAACUGGGGAAAGAAGAUUGGACAUGCUACAUUUUUGGGCAAGUAGCCCUAAGAAACGAAUACACCCGAUCCAGACCUUCCCAGCUCUGAGGAUGUCUCUUCUGCUGCAUGCUGUGUAUUUGGUCCCCAGGGAUGCCAGCUCCAACUGUGGCCCCCAGGAGCCCAAGCAACACAUACUCCUGCAAUUGGGGUCCCUCACCUUUGCUGCUGGGUCCACUUGGGCAGGACUUGCAUUCUUCUGCCCUAAGUGGUUCAAAGAGUUUGAGUGGGUACACUCUGGUACUAGAGAAAAUCUGAAGCAGCUUACCUAGUGGGAUGAAAAAGGACUUAUGUACCCUUGAUUUAUUAAAAUUCAUUGUUCUUUUAUGUACAUUUCUCUUUAAAACUCUGAAAUGAAUAUUUGUUUAUGCAGUAUGACAUGAUUUAAUAAUUUAUAUGACAAGCUUAAUAAGGCUGAUAUUCAAUGAACAGAAAAGUAAUUUAUCUUUUAGUAAUCAGAAAAACUUUCAAUCCAUUUUUAUUUUUAAGUGUCUUUUAUUAAAGCUUGUGAUUUUUUAUUAAUGUAAGCCAAAGGGUGAUUGUUUUUGACACAUGGCAUUGUACCAUAGUGUAAUGGGUAGUUUCCUUCUCAGUUAACCUUCAAUACUUUAUAGAUGCUAUUGUGAGAUACUGUGGUGAAGUAAGGCCUCGCAUCUUCGAGCAGGCUUCUUUACCAUAGCAUGUUAGCUGACUUAAAAUUGCCCCAUACAAUGGUACAUAUCAACCCUUAGUGAAGCCUUUUAAAAAACAAACAGGUUGAAAAAUGGGUUAAAGUAGGCAAGUACAGCAUCUGCCUUUAGAGCUAUCAACUCAGGAAUUCUCUCAAUUAUGAAAUCUUGCAGAGAAGUUACUUUUCUUUCUCAAAAUCCAAGUGAUGACAAUACUCCUUACUCCAGAUCUGGCAUUUUUUCAUCAUCACUGUUUUGUGAAUCCUCAGAGAAAUGAUCAAAAUUAGACAUGUCUUCAUCUGAAUCAUCUUCCCAGUCUUUCCAAUUAUUGAAGUCGACACUAAGCCAAUUAAGCUUUGCCCUUUCUUUUGUUAACCUUGGCCAUGACUAGCCAGAUUCUCCUUUUCGUAAACAACAUAAAAUUGAUCUGUCCGUUCUUUUAUGCUUGCAAUCAUUUGGAUCAGUACAGUGA
rnacentral:lncRNA from 1 species